UCCUCUCUCCUUAGGGCCACAGGUCCUGCCAGGAGCCUACUCCAGCAUGGACUUCCCACGGGGUCACAGCCUCCUUCAGGACCGCGCCAGCAUGGUGUCCUCCAUGGGCUACAGAUUUGGAAACAGAAUAGGCAAAGAGAUAGGAAAAGGAGCAAGGGCACUAAUAUGAGGCCCUACUCAGUUAAGACUACAUUCAAUAGAGAACAUCUAUAUGAUUUUAUAGCAAUUCCAAAACCAUAAACCAAGCAUCUACAAGUUCCUACUCCAAAGGACACCUCUCACUUAAACCUGGAAGUUUUCUAAAAAUUCUAUUUCUAUGGAAGCAGAAAAUGAAACAGCUUGGCAACUGUGUCACAUGCCUAUUCUAACUGAAGACCCCAAAUCCCCAGGUGCUACUCUGGCCCCCAAGGAGCCAAUACCUGUGCUCAGAACACACCCAGCCUACAGAAGGAGGCCAGAGUACUUCACAAAACAAAGAGGUGAACAUUUUCUUUUAAAACACAGCCAGAGAGGAAGAAAUUGUUGUGUUUAUUUUCAUACAGUAUCCUGAUGGUUAGAGCACUCACUGGGAAAAAACAGGAGACACCUGAGUUAAAGGUUUCUUCAGCAAGAUGUUCUUCUCCUGCCUCCUCUCUGUCUCCUGCCUCAAAAACAUGUUUAAAUACGAGGCUGGAGGGUAGAUGUAGCAGGGGGAGGGGAACAGAAGACAUGAAUGUAUGUUCACCCCUGAGCAGUUAGGGCUUCAAGCAGAAUAACAAAAAUACAGAUUGCACUCCUUGGA